UGUGUGUGUGUGUGUGUGUGUGUGUGUGUUCCUCCAGAGUUCAGUCCUCAGUGACUCUGAUGAACUCCUGUACGGUCGCGCUGGCUUCCUGUUCGCUCUGCUGUACGUCAACAGAGAGAUGGGAGAGAACACGGUGGAGGAGAGCACCAUCACUCAGAACUGAUCUCCGUUUGGACACAACUGUCAUCCCUCCGUAGAUUCUACGCAGCCCGGAGGCAAUCUUUUUCACCGUCCCACCAGCGAGGCGGCGGCGGAAGGAGAGGAGACAGAAGCGUGGUGUUCCAGGAGGAGAAGUACCUGAAGGAGGCAUCAGACUGCUCGGAGGUGAUCUGGCAGAGAGGUUUCCUGAGGAAAGGAUACGGACUCUGCCACGGCACGGCAGGGAACGGAUUCAUCUUCCUGUCCCUGUACCGGAGGACGAAGGAGAGGAAGCACCUGUACAGGGCC